CGGGAGGCAGCAGUUAGGAAUCUUCCACAAUGGGCGCAAGCCUGAUGGAGCGACGCCGCGUGAGGGAUGAAGGCCCUCGGGUUGUAAACCUCUAAAAGGGGGACGAUAAUGACGGUACCCCUUGAAAAGCACCGGCUAACUCCGUGCCAGCAGCCGCGGUAAUACGGAGGGUGCAAGCGUUAUCCGGAAUCACUGGGCGUAAAGGGCGUGUAGGCGGCCUGUUAAGUCCGAUGUUAAAGACCGGGGCUCAACCCCGGCACGGCGUUGGAUACUGGCAGGCUAGACGGCUGGAGAGGAAAGUGGAAUUACCAGUGUAGCGGUGGAAUGCGUAGAUACUGGUAGGAACACCAAUGGCGAAGGCAGCUUUCUGGACAGUUGGUGACGCUGAGGCGCGAAAGUGUGGGGAGCAAACCGGAUUAGAUACCCGGGUAGUCCACACCCUAAAC
rnacentral:rRNA from 1 species